GUCUUUUUGAUUAUAAUUUAAAGUCUAACCUGCCCAAUGAGUUAUUGAAUGGCCGCAGUAUUUUAACUGUGCGAAGGUAGCAUAAUAAUUAGUUUUUUAAUUGGAAACUGGUAUGAAUGGUUGGACGAGAAAAUAGCUGUCUCAGUUUAAAUUUUAAUUAAAAUUUUAUUUUUAAGUUAAAAAGCUUAAAUAAUUUUAAAAGACGAGAAGACCCUAUAGAGUUUUAUAUUGAUAUUAUUUUUUAUUAAUAAGGAAUUAAUUUAUUUUAAUUAUAUAUUAAUAUUUUAUUGGGGUGAUAUAAAAAUUUAAUAAACUUUUUAUUUUAUUAAACAUUAAUUUAUGAUUAAUUGAUCCAUUAUUUAUGAUUAAAAGAUUAAAUUACCUUAGGGAUAACAGCGUAAUUUUUUUUUAGAGUUCUUAUUGAAAAAAAAGAUUGCGACCUCGAUGUUGGAUUAAAA
rnacentral:rRNA from 1 species